CGGCGGACGGGUGAGUAAUGUCUGGGAAGCUGCCCGAUGGAGGGGGAUAACUACUGGAAACGGUAGCUAAUACCGCAUAACGUCGCAAGACCAAAGAGGGGACCUUCGGGCCUCUUGCCAUCGGAUGUGCCCAGAUGGGAUUAGCUAGUAGGUGGGGUAACGGCUCACCUAGGCGACGAUCCCUAGCUGGUCUGAGAGGAUGACCAGCCACACUGGAACUGAGACACGGUCCAG
rnacentral:rRNA from 1 species